AACGAACGCUGGCGGCAGGCUUAACACAUGCAAGUCGAACGCAUCCUUCGGGGUGAGUGGCAGACGGGUGCGUAACGCGUGGGAACGUGCCCUUCAGUUCGGGAUAACCCAGGGAAACUUGGGCUAAUACCGGAUACGUGCGAGAGCAGAAAGAUUUAUCGCUGAAGGAUCGGCCCGCGUCUGAUUAGCUAGCUGGUGGGGUAAUGGCCCACCAAGGCGACGAUCAGUAGCUUGUCUGAGAGGAUGAUCAGCCACAUUGGGAAUGAGACACGGGCCAAACGACUACGGGUGGCCGCAGUGGGGAAUAUUGGACAAUGGGCGCCAGCUUGAUCCAGACGUGCCGCGUGAGUGAUGAAGGCCUUAGGGUUGUAAAGCGCUUUCGUCCGGGACGAUAAUGACGGUACCGGAAGAAGAAGCCCCGGCUAACUUCGUGCCAGCCGCCGCGGUAA
rnacentral:rRNA from 1 species